UAACCUGUGUUCCUAGCAGCGGGGCAACACCAUACCUUGUCCUUUCAAGCAACCCCAAAAGUCAGUUUUAGCCAUGCCUUUGCAGGCAUGUCAAAUCCCCAUCUUAGUGCCACAUCUAGAUACACUUUGAAGCCAUAUCUAUCACCUUAGCAUUUCUUUACAACUUUCAGCAUCUCCCAUCUCUCUCCCAAGCGUUCUGCCAACUACACCUCCUGAUUCACGAAGGUCCAGUAUACAACAGCUAACCAAGCCAAACAUUUGCCAAGUUCAUCAAACCAAAGGCUUCGUCUACAAACCCCUCUGCCCAUUUUAUCUCUAUUCACGGCAUCGUGGAUCGGAAGGAUUAAGAUUGCUAUUUCGAUUCAAAGUUAAGUUUAAACGACAGGCUUUGCCUAUGCAGAAGUAUCACAUUAAUUGAGUGAACUAGUGCAAAGCUUUUACAGAGAAUUAUGACAUGAUAGUGGCUUGACUAGUGCAAAGUUUUUGCUGAAGUAUCACAUGAAUUGGCGUGACUAGUGCAAAGCUUUUACAGAGGUGAUAUUUUUGGGCACAACAACUGGCGCCUUCUUUCGAAAGUCGAUACCCGAGCUAGACGUUUGACGAUUUUCCACCGUUGCUAUUACUUUUUUCCGACGAAUAGCACCAACCAAAGCCAUUGAGAAGGAGAACGACAACCUCAAUGUCAACCGCAACCUCAAUGCAGAUUUCAACGAAGAAAAUGUUAUCCCCAAUCAAAUAAUUCUACUGAUGCCAUGUCGCAAACCCUCGGUCUUUUACUUAUGAAGAAACUCAUGAAUAUGGCAGGGACAUCAAAUACCCUGUUCACUACACUAGAAGCACAGAUCAACUCCCCAGGGAAGGAUUUCCAAAUGCAGCAAACCAACGAAGGAGCCAAAAGAACCAAAUCCACCCUCACUGGACGAACUAAGGACGGAGGACAUCCCGCCAUGCAGGACGACCUUAUUAACAAAGAUGAAGUCGAUUAGUGGGAUCGAGUGUUAAUAGAGGAUGAGGGAGAAUUUGUUGGAUUUGUAUACUGAAAGCAAGAACUUUUAUGCUUGUAUACAAUGAUUCCUGAGUUCACUAUCUAAUCUCCUAUUUGAAUUGUUCAUAA